GCAUCGAUGAAGAACGCAGCCAGUUGCGAUAAGUAGUGUGAAUUGCAGAAUUCAGUGAAUCAUCGAAUCUUUGAACGCAAAUUGCGCUUUCUGGAUAUCCAGGGAGCAUGCCUGUCUGAGCGUCGUUUAAUAAUCUACACACCUUGGUGUGGGUAGGGAGCUCAUGCAAUCUUGGUUGCCUGCCUCCUGAUGUAUCUGAACCUGCAGAACACUGACUCUGUGUACUGCUUGGAAGGCUCAACUUGCUUCUGUCCUUCUAAAGUAAGUACCGUUUGCGUUUUGUAUGGUUUUCUGAAUUCCCUGAAUUCAAAUUCUGAUUUUUGACCUCAGAUCAGACAAGACUACCCGCUGAAUUUAAGCAUAUCAAUAAGCGGAGGA
rnacentral:rRNA from 1 species